GCUUGAGCACAGCUGGGUGGGAGGGUUCUACAUGGAAAUUCAGGGGUCCCCAGGCCUAACCUCCGUGGGUGUGGCCAGCACUCGCCUCUCCUUCCACUUCCGGUGUAAACUGAGUCACGACCACCCACCAGUGCCCACCCUCGGCUCCUCCCCUUCCCCCAUCAGCCCCUGCACCACCCACCCUGCUCUCUCCACCCCACGCCCCGAAGUGCAGGACCAGCGCAGACGGAAACAGAAAGCAGCAACUGCAGGCUAAGCGCGCUUUACUGAGCAUAUACAACAGCACACAGGAAGCAAAGAACCCCGUCCAUUCAAAUGAAGGGCUAACUGGGGAAGCGGCUGCCUGAUUUCGCAUCCUGCACCCAUGAUAGGAAAGAAGUUCUCAGGGUGUGUGUGGGCGGCACAGGGAGUGUCGCCUGGGGCUCGGGGUCCCCUUCUGCAAUGGAAGUAACAUCCACGGUAUCACCUGGAACCAACUCUUCCCGGGAUGCACAGCCCUGAGCCGCAAUGUUUUGGUCAACAACGGAACAGACGGAUGACUUUGCAGCCGCCGCAGUUUGUGUAAGGACAGGCCCCGGGUCUGCACCACGAUGAAACUGCCACUCCUCAGAGAGCGUCCUGCUCCUCCAGCACCGCGAGGGCUGACUGAACUGGAGUGGUCGGGGCGCUGCUCACCGGGUGUGCCGUACAGGCUGCUCCAUGCCUUCGUGCCUUUUCUUGGUCCACACAGCAAGCUGCAACCCAGAGCGACUGACGGCAAUGAAAGAAAUGAUCAUGAAACACAUGGGGUCCGCCCAUGUUCACAUCUUUUCUUCUUACACAUGACUUCGCUGGGAGCUCGCGUGCAGCAGAUAUUCCCAAAGCACUGACCGGAAGCUGGCACUCUUAGCUCCUGAGGCCACUUUCCGUUCACACUCCUCAUUUCACAGAACCCGCUCAUGCAGGGUUACUUGGGCCUGGCACCAGGACAUGGAUGGAGGAGCCGGCCUGGGUCUUCUGGAAAAGUGUUUCAUGGUUCUCAGACAUUUCCCUAAGUCUGCCUGAGAGGUUCUACUUGGCUGGUGGAGCCCAAGACACCAAUUCUACACAUCUGGGUGAAUUUUUCAGCAGCAAAUUAAUUAGACACCCUUUCGUGUGGUUGAGGAGGAAGAUGCACAAGCAGAGAAACAAGACUGAGAAGGGCUGCCGGGACCAGGUCAUUUCAUUGUUCAAAGAAAAAAUUCGGUGGAAGGAGCCUUCUCCGUGCUCAUUAGGAACCCAGGCCUCCGCGUUCCCAUGCAAGAAGGGGAACAGAAGGAAUCUCAGUUGCUUUUUCAUGAGAUCUGACCCAGAGUUGAACAAAGAGAAUUGUAAAGCUUUUGCAUAUGCCAUUUUGAGGAGGGGGGCAUCAAUCUCUUUCCUCCUUCUCUGGUGUUUGUUGCUUGAAUAAAAAGAA
rnacentral:lncRNA from 1 species